GCAGUCGAACGAAGCGGCUGCAGGGAUUCCCUUCGGGGAGGAACAGUCGCUGUCUGAGUGGCGGACGGGUGAGUAACGCGUGGGCAACCUGCCCCAUACCGGGGGAUAACAGCCGGAAACGGCUGCUAAUACCGCAUACGCCCAGGAGGCUGCAUAGCUUCCUGGGGAAAACUCCGGUGGUAUGGGAUGGGCCCGCGUCUGAUUAGCUCGUUGGCGGGGUAACGGCCCACCAAGGCGACGAUCAGUAGCCGGCCUGAGAGGGCGGCCGGCCACAUUGGGACUGAGACACGGCCCAGACUCCUGCGGGAGGCAGCAGUGGGGAAUAUUGCACAAUGGGGGAAACCCUGAUGCAGCGACGCCGCGUGAGCGAUGAAGUAUCUCGGUAUGUAAAGCUCUAUCAGCAGGGAAGAAAGUGACAGUACCUGACUAAGAAGCCCCGGCUAACUACGUGCCAGCAGCCGCGGUAAUACGUAGGGGGCAAGCGUUAUCCGGAUUCACUGGGCGUAAAGGGAGCGCAGGCGGCACGGCAAGUCUGGUGUGAAAACCCGGGGCUCAACCCCGGGACUGCAUUGGAAACUGCCGGGCUGGAGUGUCGGAGGGGUAAGCGGAAUUCCUAGUGUAGCGGUGAAAUGCGUAGAUAUUAGGAGGAACACCAGUGGCGAAGGCGGCUUACUGGACGAUGACUGACGCUGAGGCUCGAAAGCGUGGGGAGCAAACAGGAU
rnacentral:rRNA from 1 species